CAGGCAGCGGGAAUUGUGUGGGGUCGCCGUCGCUGUCUGGAUUGUGCUCAGCGUUGUCCCUCGGCACCUCCCCAAUCACAGGAAUAGGUUGUGUAUCAAUCUGCGGCUCUGGUUUUUCCGCGUCGCCGUUACCAUUGUGCAACAUGUUCAGCUUGAUGCUCUGUAUUACGAAUCCUCCAAAGAAUUAAAGUUUCAAGCGGAAAGUAAAUGAGAAUAGAUAAAGAAACAGAAGACACUUGCAGGGGCUGUGUGUUUUCUGUUCCCUCAUUCUAAUGGGAUUCUGGCACCAGAACCACUGCGACUAUGAGCAAAGUGGUCUGAAGAGCCGUGUUUGGAAUGAGGGAUUGUGAUGAUGCAUUGCUAAAGAAUGGAGGUGUGAAGAAGGGAAGAGUAAAGUGGUACAGUCGGAAGCCGAGUUAGCGCAAAAUCUGUGUUUAAUAAGAAGACUACGGCCAUGGCAACAUCAACCAAUGUGCAAUAAAAAUGAUUUGUUAUGGAGCUCAA